rnacentral:rRNA from 1 species
CCUACGGGGGGCUGCAGUGGGGGAUAUUGCACAAUGGGGGGAACCCUGAUGCAGCGACGCCGCGUGGGUGAAGGAGUGCUUCGGCAUGUAAAGCCCUAUCGGCAGGGAAGAAGCAAGACGGUACCUGACUAAGAAGCCCCGGCUAACUACGUGCCAGCAGCCGCGGUAAUACGUAGGGGGCGAGCGUUAUCCGGAUUCACUGGGUGUAAAGGGAGCGUAGACGGCCAUGCAAGCCAGGGGUGAAAGCCCGAGGCCCAACCCCGGGACUGUCCUUGGAACUGUGCGGCUAGAGUGCGGGAGGGGCAGGCGGAAUUCCUGGUGUAGCGGUGAAAUGCGUAGAUAUCAGGAGGAACUCCGGCGGCGAAGGCGGCCUGCUGGACUGCGACUGACGUUGAGGCUCGAAAGCGUGGGGAGCGAACAGGAUUAGAUACCCCUGUAGUC